UACGUAGGGUGCGAGCGUUGUCCGGAAUUACUGGGCGUAAAGAGCUCGUAGGUGGUUUGUCGCGUUGUCCGUGAAAACUCACAACUCAAUUGUGGGCGUGCGGGCGAUACGGGCAGACUGGAGUACUGCAGGGGAGACUGGAAUUCCUGGUGUAGCGGUGAAAUGCGCAGAUAUCAGGAAGAACACCCGUGGCGAAGGCGGUUCUCUGGGACGGUACUGACGCUGAGACGCGAAAGCGUGGGGAGCGAACAGG
rnacentral:rRNA from 1 species